UACGAGUUGUGCAAACGUUAUUCGGAAUCACUGGGCUUAAAGGGUGCGUAGGCGGCUACGAAAGUCAGGUGUGAAAUCCCUCGGCUCAACCGAGGAACUGCGCUUGAAACUGUGUAGCUUGAGGGAGACAGAUGUGAGCGGAACUGAUGGUGGAGCGGUGAAAUGCGUUGAUAUCAUCAGGAACACCGGUGGCGAAAGCGGCUCACUGGGUCUUAUCUGACGCUGAGGUACGAAAGCUAGGUGAGCAAACGGG
rnacentral:rRNA from 1 species